CGACAGUUGAGUUGUGUUUUAUAUUUACAAUAUUUUUUUACAUACAUUUCAACAUUUUACAGGCUACUGGGAGCUCUUUUUAAUUCGAGCAACGAACAGUUACAUAAACUAACACGUAAAUCUAAUUCGUAAUAAAAACGAUCUGUGUUAGUUAAUCUACUGGGCCCGCGGUAGACGGGAUCAGCACACUAGAAUCAAUAAAAUCCCGGCCGCCCCUUCCGAUCAUAGUUAUUGUUCGAAGGACGAAUAUUGGUCUUAUGUGCCCUUUUAAAUAUGUGAGGGAUGGUUCAAAUUCUAUAGUACAAAUAUACAAUUUAAAAUUGACUUGACAACUACCCUACCGAGUUAGUACUAUCUACAAUUUAAGACACCACACAAUGUUCGUGGCCUUUUUUUCCAAAUAUACAUACAUUUUAGUUCAAACUGUGUUCGAUAAACAACAUUAGCGCAUCUAAACGUUGCCAGCCACUGUCGAUCAAUUUAUAAUAAAACAACAACAAAAAUUUAGCAGUCAACACAAAAAAAUCCUAUAUUCAACGUAACUUCUUCAGUGGUAACUAAAAUUUUUACAAUUAUCUUCACAAUUAGUAGUUACCAAUUACGAUUUAUGACUUUAUUUUUCUCAGAGUUUUAAGUCUUAUUUAGAGACAAUAUCAUCCUAAAAAAGUAUGUUUCAAGGCGACAGAUUUUUCAGUCGUGUAUUUGUAAUUUACCAAGAAGCCACCAUGUAAUCACUAAAAUUAAUCGCUCGUUAUUUUAGCGCUCUACAAAAACAGUAAUAGUUAACAUUCAUUUUAACAUUCCCUUAAGCAUUUUAUAACAACCUAUAACGAUAAAAAAAAACCAUUCCCUUUCUAAUAUCUACACCAUACACUGACAAUAGCUCUAUUACUUAAGCAUUUUUAUUAUCAUACAAUUACAACCGACUAUAACAAAUACAAUCGAUUGAUUUGAUUAGGUACUUGUUUUUCAACCGAUUUAUUUCUUGGACUAUUUCGUAACAUUUUGUACGGCCGUUUUAUGGCUUUUACAAAUAUUUUUCUUUUACAAAUAUUUUUCUAAAAUAAUUAUUGUACAAAUUAUAAUAAAU
rnacentral:misc_RNA from 1 species